GGGGUAUGAUGUGGGAUUUGACACUUUAAAUUGCCUGUUGGUCUUAAUUUUCUGAAGGAAAUAUACAGUAUGCCAGCCCAUCGCAAAUAUACAUCAGCAAUAAAGAAGCUAAACACUACACAUGAAAUAUUAAUUCGCAAGAAUAUCAUCACGAAAGAACACUCUUAUUCGACAUUUUAUUGGGAUUUAGCAUCUGUGUAAUCUUGUACGUAUAUAUUAGUUCCAUUAAGGAUUGAGUCAUUAACGAUUACAUUUUAUUGGGAUUUAGCAUCUGUGUAAUCUUGUACGUAUAUAUUAG
rnacentral:lncRNA from 1 species